CUUUAUUUGACUCAACACGGGAAAACUCACCUGGUCCGAACACUGUAAGGAUUGACAGACUGAUUGUUCUUUCUUGAUUCGGUGGUUGGUGAUGCAUAGCCGUUCAUUAGAAGGGCAACGCUAAGUAAGAAAAUUAUCAGUAAUUAAUAUAAUUUUUAAAUUUGUAAAUUUAUGGUAGUUUAAUAAAUGUGUAAAAUUUUUAAUUUUGUAAAAAAGUAGUGUAAAAACGACACUGACGAUCCGCGAAUUGGCUUG
rnacentral:ncRNA from 1 species